UGUGUGGGGGGCGGGGGGGGUGUAUGUGCCUCUAAAUGUGUGCAUAUGUGUGUGUCUACAAGGCCUCAUAAGCGUGACAUUUGGUGGACGUGUCCCUGUAGUGACCAUAGGACAUCCCACCCAGAGGUCUCUCAAAUUAUCUUAAAAGUCCAUUUUGUAGGAGAUUUAGUGGCGUCUAGCAAUGAUGUCACAGAUUGCAACCAACCAAUAUAGCCCUCGACCCUCCCCUUUUCAAGCAUGGAUUAGUGAAUUAGUAGCGACAACAAACACCCCAACAACAAAAAACAAAAAAAAAAGAAUCAAGAUUUAAUGUUGACGAAACUAACUGAGGUUUCCUCUUUUCAGUGUUCAGACCAGAUAUUCACGUUGACACGCAUUUGAUAUGGAUUGCUACUUCGAACGUCCCCAGUUGGCUUAUUUUACUACUGCUGUUCAAAAUCAAUUAGGUCUCCACCCCUCAGAAAUCAAUUAGGUCUCCACCCCUUUAGAAAUCAAUUAGGUCUCCACCCGUCAGAAAUCAAUUAGGUCUCCACCCGUCAGAAAUCAAUUAGGUCUCCACCCGUCAGAAAUCAAUUAGGUCUCCACCCGUCAGAAAUCAAUUAGGUCUCCACCCCUCAGAAAUCAAUUAGGUCUCCACCCCUUUAGAAAUCAAUUAGGUCUCCACCCCUCAGAAAUCAAUUAGGUCUCCACCCGUCAGAAAUCAAUUAGGUCACCACCCGUGUUAAUUUUGGCAGCUAUUUUAGAUUUAGUCUUGGUCUUUAGACGAAAAUGCUUUCGUCGACGAAGUCUCAUUACAUUUUAGUCUAGUUUUAGUCACAUUUAGUCACAUUAAACUCCUUUCCUUCCUUUCUUAGGCCCAGGGACCCCUUGUGUUGUGUCUACAACUGCAUAAUAGUCAAGCUUGCCGUACAUAAAUUGUGGAUGCAAUUCGUCUCUAAGAUACAGAUCUCCUAGUAUAUGCCUACAGCUGAAUUCCAAUUAAUUCAAUGUAAAUAAUCAUUUUAAGGCAAUACUUAAUUAACAGUAUUAUCAUUAAAAUAUAAGAGAAUAUCAAGUCUAGAUUUUGAAGAUUCCUGACCUUAGAGUUAAAUCAACCACAUAUCCUCCAUAUGAACCAACAGAUUUAGCUAUACGGAUAGUUUUGAGAGUUGAAAUGAAAGUGGUGCCAAUGAUAAUAACAAUUGCAUAAAUAGACAAGGAAGGAUAUGUAAACCAAUCACAUAUUAAUUUAUUUUUUCUUGAUUAAUGUCAUGCGUGGCCUGUCCUAUAUUCCAUUCUGCAAUGCGUUUAUUUGCUAGCUAUCGAUAGCUAACUUAGCUAGCUAGUAUAACUUAGCUAUGCUACCUCAUAGUUAGCCAACGUUAGCUAGCUAAACGUUUUGGAAAUCAUUUUCCAAGGCUAACGGGAGGUUUCAAUCGAAAAUGACUAGCUAGUUAUCCAAGCUGACACAACCUAUACACUCGACUGCCC
ensembl:lncRNA